rnacentral:rRNA from 1 species
AUUGAACGCUGGCGGCAUGCCUUACACAUGCAAGUCGAACGGCAGCACGGGUGCUUGCACCUGGUGGCGAGUGGCGAACGGGUGAGUAAUACAUCGGAACAUGUCCUGUAGUGGGGGAUAGCCCGGCGAAAGCCGGAUUAAUACCGCAUACGAUCUACGGAUGAAAGCGGGGGACCUUCGGGCCUCGCGCUAUAGGGUUGGCCGAUGGCUGAUUAGCUAGUUGGUGGGGUAAAGGCCUACCAAGGCGACGAUCAGUAGCUGGUCUGAGAGGACGACCAGCCACACUGGGACUGAGUCACGGCCCAGACUCCUACGGGAGGCAGCAGUGGGGAAUUUUGGCCAAUGGGCGAAAGCCUGAUCCAGCAAUGCCGCGUGUGUGAAGAAGGCCUUCGGGUUGUAAAGCACUUUUGUCCGGAAAGAAAUCCUUGGCCCUAAGACGGUCGGGGGAUGACGGUACCGGAAGAAUAAGCACCGGCUAACUACGU